rnacentral:ncRNA from 2 species
UAGGGUGCGAACGCAGCUGGUUCGCCCCGUCCGCCAGGCGGGAUGCGUCGUAAGAGGGAACCCGGUGGGAAUCCGGGACUGCCCCGCAGCGGUGAGCGGGAACGACCGCCGUCAUACGCACUGGGCCCGGCCGGGCCUGGGAAGCGACGGCCAGUAGAUGCCUCAAAGAACACGAGGCGUGCCCGCGAGUCCGAAGACCUGCCACUGCCCGUGUGCGACC